AUUGAACGCUGGCGGCAUGCCUUACACAUGCAAGUCGAACGGUAGCACGGGAGCAAUCCUGGUGGCGAGUGGCGAACGGGUGAGUAAAGUAUCGGAACGUGCCCAGUCGUGGGGGAUAACGUAGCGAAAGUUACGCUAAUACCGCAUACGAUCUAUGGAUGAAAGCGGGGGAUCGCAAGACCUCGCGCGAUUGGAGCGGCCGAUAUCAGAUUAGGUAGUUGGUGGGGUAAAGGCUCACCAAGCCGACGAUCUGUAGCUGGUCUGAGAGGACGACCAGCCACACUGGGACUGGGACACGGCCCAGACUCCUACGGGAGGCAGCAGUGGGGAAUUUUGGACAAUGGGCGAAAGCCUGAUCCAGCCAUGCCGCGUGCAGGAUGGAGGCCUUCGGGUUGUAAACUGCUUUUGUACGGAACGAAAAGGUUUGGGCUAAUAAGCUGAGCUCAUGACGGUACCGUAAGAAUAAGCACCGGCUAACUACGUGCCAGCCGCCGCCGUAA
rnacentral:rRNA from 1 species